AUACGGCCCAGACUCCUACGGAGCAGCAGUGGAAUAUUGCACAAUGGGCGCAAGCCUGAUGCAGCAACGCCGCGUGCGGGAUGACGGCCUUCGGGUUGUAAACCGCUUUCAGCAGGGACGAAGCGCAAGUGACGGUACCUGCAGAAGAAGCACCGGCUAACUACGUGCCAGCAGCCGCGGUGAUACGUAGGGUGCGAGCGUUGUCCGGAUUUAUUGGGCGUAAAGAGCUUGUAGGCGGUUAGUCGCGUCGUAAGUGCAAACUCAGGGCUUAACCCUGAGCCUGCUUUCGAUACGGGCUGACUAGAGGAAGGUAGGGGAGAAUGGAAUUCCCGGUGGAGCGGUGGAAUGCGCAGAUAUCGGGAGGAACACCAGUGGCGAAGGCGGUUCUCUGGACCUUUCCUGACGCUGAGAAGCGAAAGCGUGGGGAGCAAACAGGCUUAGAUACCCUGGU
rnacentral:rRNA from 1 species